GGCUCGUAGUUUUUCCUUGCAUUUACUGAUAAUAGGCUGGAUUUCCCAACUCAGCUGAUCUGAUCUGUUCAUGGCUUGGACAAGUUGCAAACUGUUUGACUCAAAAGAUAAGUGCUUCGUGUCUUUGUGGGUAGAAAAAGUCAAUGCCUUCCCAAGGGUUUCGGCCAUGAGGGGAGAAGAAGCUUUGAUCUCCUUAACCACGCCUUCCACCAACCUCCCUUCCGAAUCUCUGCACACAUAAGCUAUGGAGUUCCUCAACAAACCAGGUUCGUGCGUCCCAUCUACAUUAAUCUUCCAAGCUCCUUCGUGUGGUGGAAUCCAUUGCUGAGGUGGUUCAAUUUCGUGGGUUUCAGAUCUGGUAUUUUCGUGGGUUUUCUGUCCAGCACCCCUCUGAUUCGGUCCUUCUUUGCGCCGAGAUCUCGGUUCCUCUCUUUCUUCUCUGCUCCGUGGACCGGCGUUGCCUCUGGUGGCCAACCCAACAAACCCCUGUUUCAGCUCACCGCUCGGUCGAAGACGCCUGUGCUCUGUUCCUUUCUCCGAUCGUUCCUCCUCGCUGACGCUCUCCGCUCGGGUUGGAGGUCUUAGAACGUCACUUGGCCUCCCAGCUGCAGAUCCACCGGUUCUUCCCUCAGUUCGUCCUUCAUAGUGCUUUCCCGAGGGGUUCAUCGAGGAAGGCUCUGCACCGGUCCCUGUUCUGCUACUGAUUUCAGCUUGCUCUUGUGCAGCAAGCCGUCUAUUGCCCCCACUCCAGGCGCCAUUGAGUUCCGAUCGCAGGUAUAUGCUUGGUUCAUCUGCUCUUUCCUCCUGUUCAUCAUCUGUUCUGAGUCCUAUCGUGCUGGUUUCAGCUCGUUGUGCCCCACCCGACUCUCUAUCUGCUUGUUGCUCAUUGAUUUGCUCUAUGUGCUCUGUUGGGGUUGCUCUGUUCUUAGAUCUGUCUUUAUAAUCACCCGUCCGUGGAUUCCACUUUUGAUGACUGUUUAGUGUUUGCUUGGGCAGAGUCUAGGAUGGCCGACGCCUCUGGUUCCCUUCCAAUCAAGGAUCAUUUAGAUGCGCCGAAUGAUGGUACUUUUUGAAGAAAACUUCAUCUAAGAAACUAAAAGGAGGUGGGGAUAACUACACAGAUAGUCAUUGAACUUUUUGCUUUAUUACAUAAUAUCAUCCAUGAAUUUUUAAUUUGUUUAAUAUGGUCUUUAAACUUUCGCUUACUAUGCAAUAUUCCCCAUAAACUUUUAAUUUGUUCAAUGCGGU
rnacentral:lncRNA from 1 species